GCUGGGUGUGGUGGCGCACGCCUGUAAUCCUAGCACUUUGGGAAGCUGAGGCGGGUGGAUCACCUGAGGUCAGGAGUUCAAGACCAGCCUGGCCAACAAGGCGAAACUCUGUCUCUA
rnacentral:SRP_RNA from 1 species